UUAAUGAAACCAUGGCCCAGCCAUGGCAGCCACUUUUCUGGUUUCCAGUCUCUUUUGGCCAUGGUAUGUAACACAGGUUUUAUUCUGCCUGCCAUAUAAUUCUGGCACUAUAAACACAACCAUUUAUUUAUUUUUUCCUUGAACUAUUCACAUUCCAUAAUCCAUAUUGAAAUCAUGCAAAUGUUCAUUAUGUGCUCAAGUCAUUGCAGAUUUUUUGAA
rnacentral:misc_RNA from 1 species